CCGAAACCCCACAGGGUGGCUCCCGCCGCGCGCGGGGGGCGGGGGCGGGGUCCCCGCGGACGCCACGGACCCGCGGCGCCAGCGGCGCAGAGGACUUCGCACCCUGUAGAGUUACAAAGGGGGGGCACUUACUAACUGUAGCCGGUGUUUAAUAAGCGUGCCUGCUGCGAGCCUACGGCGGACCUGCGGCGCGUGGGGCCCAGGUAGGACAGGUUUCUAACCCUCGCAGCCAGCCGAGCGAGGCACCUCAACCAGUCUGGUUUGACAGAGGAGGAAGUCACCGCUCAAGGAGAAGUCCCACUUAAGUCUCGGCCGGGAGCCUGGCGGACAUCCCUGGGGGGGGGGGGGGUUGCAGCUCGGGUGCUUUAGGCGACCCAGUACGUCCCAGCUCCGGAGAGCUGCGUUGGCGUCCCAGUAAGUCCUUUGAGGGGGUUAUUUCUCGAGUCCUCUGAUUCCACUUCUGGAAAAGGGAUCAGCCAUUCUGAGCUCCCCGCGGAGGAAGGAAGAGAGGGCGCCCUGCUCUGUGAAGCGCGCUGUAAACGUUAGGCACCAGAAAGCAGGCGUUCCAGCCUCUGGGAUGACCGUUGGGGAGUUUGCUGGACACCUUGCCUCCUGUCCCCACGGAGCCACCGGCUGAGAACUGGGUUUUAGAAACUAGAAAGAACUACAGAGUUUGCUCCCUGCCCAGCAUAGACCUGGGCUGCGGCUCCGGUUGUGUCUCUGAGGCAACUGCCCCAAGACUGGUGAGGUAACGUUGCAGGAAAGAAGUACUAUCAGUUGACCAGGCCCCCGCUGUGUGCUAAGCAGUUUCGGUGCCUGUGGGCGAGGCCAGCAUUGCUCUGCUCUUACACUGACCCCAGCCCUGUCUGGUCAUUUCAGAACCGCGGAGUCGGGCCAUCCACCCUGUCAUAUCUCUGAAGUUCCGGCUGCUGGAGCAGAAAUGUCUCCACGGCGCGGGGAGCAUCAUGUGGUUAGCGACUGGCUCUAUCUCGCCCACGCUGCCUCCCCGUGGGGCUCCGUCAAGGCCCCGAACAGUGGGUGCUCCAAAGUUGCCAGGCUGGUGAAAAACCAAAAGACUCUGGUGCCUGCGUCAUAGCACAGCUCAGAAGACACCUCCCAUGUCCCCGUCGGGAAUCCCAUGGCAGAGAGUCCCAGCCAGGACAUCCAGCAAGGCCUCUCGGCCACGGGGCUAGCAGCGAGCAGGCCACACGUGUCCUGACGCUGUUGGCUGCACUCAGUCUGGGUGUGGUGGGGCUGUGCGAGAGAGAGCAAGGUGGUUGGGGUCUAGCGAUGGGUGGGGGGGUGAGGCUUUUGUUUCUUACUUUGUGCUUAAGUGAGCAAAACCCGCAGAAGCUCAGGGAGAAGAAUGUGCAAAAGGAAGGGAAAAGGAAACUACCAUUUGUCAACUACCUCCUAUUCCCCCGGAGGCACUCUGUGAACUUCCUCUCCGCUCACAACCACCCAGAGAAACAGGAGGAUCGUCCCCAUUCAUAGAACCCGCAACUGACUCAGAGAGAAGGAUGCAUCUGCCCAAGAUCACACAGCCAGCAGGUGACAGAGCUAGGAUUUGAACCCCGUUCCAUCUCUCCUAAAGCACAUGCUUUUCCCUUAAUGCCCUCGCUACCCUAGAGAAAAGGGAGAAAAAAAGAAGGCAAGAUAGAAAGAGGCCCGGCUCGGGGAAAGUCACACAGAGAGAAAAAGAAAAAACGAGAGUGGAAAGAGCAUGAGGCCGCAGCCGAGGCCUGGAGCGGGUCCUCGGGGAGCAGCAGAGGGCGGGGAUGGCCGGAAACCGGCUCACCGAACCUGGAGCCAAGAACCAUGCUUGGCCUGAGACCUGGUGGAAAAGCUCUCACCUCAAGAUAGUGAAGUGGGGGAAACUGGCGGGCCGGCGUGGGGGGAGGUGGGGGCGCAGGGUCUGCCCAGGAGGAGGGCAGCGUGGCCGGAUGGCCAGGGGGCUGCCAAGCAGGGUUCUUCACACAUCAUCCAGCUCAAAUAACCACCGCGGCCGCUCAGGCUGGCAGGCCCUUGCUCCCGGACGUGCAGAGCCGCAGGCUUGGAGGCCGCGAGGGAGGAAGCAAUGACCGGGCCUUCCUGGAACACUGGUUGUUCUUUGCACAAACGCCUGAAUGGGGCCCAUAAGUAGGGUGGCUGUAGUUUAUUCUCUGGACCGGGACAGCUGGGAUUGAGUAGGGACAACAAGCAUACAGACACAGGUAUAUAGGGUACCCAGCCUCGAGGGUCCUGCGUGGCUGGGCCUGGCCUGUGCCUGUGGCUGGCCCCCCUGCCCCCCACCCUCUUCGUGCACACUGGCCUUCCUCUGCAGACACGUAGGGCCUUGGCAUUGCCUGGAACAGCCCGCCCUAUGCCAUCACCACCUCUCCACACCCCUUCAUUGUUUCUACUCGCCUUCAGAACUCAGCUCAAGCCACAGCGGUGCCUUCACUAUAUCGUGUAUUUUCCUCCACAGCACCGAUGACAAUCACAGGCAUGAAAGAAAUUCUUAAUUAUGUAUUUGGUUGCUAAAAAGUCUGUCUCCCUUCCUAAGGGCAGGGCUGGGUCUGACUCACCCACUGUUGUAUCCUGGACGCUCUAGCCAAAGGCCCCAGUGUAACGGUGAAUAAAUCAACUCCCAGGGCCCCCA